rnacentral:rRNA from 1 species
UACAGGGGGGGCAAGCGUUGUUCGGAAUUACUGGGCGUAAAGGGCUCGUAGGCGGCCAACUAAGUCACACGUGAAAUCCCCAGGCUUAGCCUGGGAACUGCGUGUGAUACUGGAUGGCUUGAAUCCGGGAGAGGGAUGCAGAAUUCCAGGUGUAGCGGUGAAAUGCGUAGAUAUCUGGAGGAAUACCGGUGGCGAAGGCGGCAUCCUGGACCGGCAUUGACGCUGAUGAGCGAAAGCUAGGGGAGCAAACGGGG